GGGCCCGCACAAGCAGUGGAGCAUGUGGUUUAAUUCGAAGAUACGCGCAGAACCUUACCAACACUUGACAUGUUCGUCGCGACUUUAAGAGAUUAAAGUUUUCGGUUCGGCCGGACGAAACACAGGUGCUGCAUGGCUGUCGUCAGCUCGUGUCGUGAGAUGUUGGGUUAAGUCCCGCAACGAGCGCAACCCUCACUUUUAGUUGCCAUCAUUAAGUUGGGCACUCUGAAAGAACUGCCAGUGAUAAGCUGGAGGAAGGUGGGGAUGACGUCAAGUCCUCAUGGCCCUUACGUGUUGGGCUACACACGUGCUACAAUGGUAUCUACAACAGGAAGCAAAACCGCGAGGUUAAGCAAAUCCUCAAAAGAUACCUCAGUUCGGAUUGCACUCUGCAACUCGAGUGCAUGAAGCUGGAAUUACUAGUAAUCG
rnacentral:rRNA from 1 species